rnacentral:tRNA from 1 species
UCCCGUGUGGCUCAGUUGGUAGAGCAUGGUGUUUGCAACGCCAGGGUUGUGGGUUCAAUUCCCACGGGGGGAC